rnacentral:rRNA from 1 species
CCGACGUGGAGCGCCAUCGAGUGAGAAUGCAGGCAUGAGUAGCGAGAGAGGGGUGAGAAACCCCUCCGCCGAAAGCCCAAGGGUUCCUGGGGAAGGCUAAUCCUCCCAGGGUGAGUCGGGAGCUAAGGCGAGGCCGCGAGGCGUAGUCGAUGCACAACUGGUUGAUAUUCCAGUACUGCCGUGCCCGCGCCAGGUCCAAGAGUGACAACAUCGGGGCUGCCUUCGGGCGAGCCGUUCGCGUUGCUGGCGGAUAGCUGGAGGGGGACGCAGGAAGGUAGGUGAACCGGGGCGAUGGUUGUCCCCGGGUAAGCGUGUAGGAGGAUCCCGAUGAGAGUUGGGGUCAUUAACUCUGAGACGUGAUGCCGAGCCGAUUAAGGCGAAGUCACUGAUCCUAUGCUGCCAAGAAAAGCCCAACAGUGAGUUGGCACGGCACCCGUACCCCAAACCGACACAGGUGGGCGGGUAGAGAAUACCAAGGCGAUCGGGAGAACUAUGGUUAAGGAACUCGGCAAAUUGCAUCCGUAACUUCGGGAGAAGGAUGACCCUAUUAGGGUGAAGGGAUUUACUCCCCGAGCUCGAGAGGGUGGCACAGACCAGGGGGUAGCGACUGUUUACCAAAAACACAGCAGCGUGCUAAGCCGCAAGGCGCUGUAUACGCUGUGACGCCUGCCCAAUGCUGGAAGGUCACGGGGAACGGUUAGUCGAAAGGCGAAGCUGUGAACCUAAGCCCCAGUGAAUGGCGGCCGUAACUAUAACGGUCCUAAGGUAGCGAAAUUCCUUGUCGGGUAAGUUCCGACCUGCACGAAUGGCGUAACGACUUCCCCACUGUCUCAACCAUAGACCCGGCGAAAUUGAAGUACGAGUAAAGAUGCUCGUUAGCUGCGGAAGGACGGAGAGACCCCAUGGACCUUUACUAUAACUUGAUAUUGAGCUUUGUCCUGCAUUGUGUAGGAUAGGUGGGAGACUUGGAAGCAGUGGCGCCAGCCAUUGUGGAGUCAACGUUGAAAUACCACCCUGUGUAUGACGGGGCUCUAACCUGGGUCCAUUAUCUGGAUCAGGAACAGUGUCAGGCGGGUAGUUUGACUGGGGCGGUCGCCUCCUAAAAUGUAACGGAGGCGCCCAAAGGUUCCCUCAGGCUGGUUGGCAAUCAGCCGUCGAGUGCAAUGACACAAGGGAGCUUGACUGCGAGACUGACAGGUCAAGCAGGUGCGAAAGCAGGGCAUAGUGACCCGGCCAUCACGUGUGGAAGUGUGGUCGCUCAACGGAUAAAAGGUACCCUGGGGAUAACAGGCUAAUCUCCCCCAAGAGUCCAUAUCGACGGGGAGGUUUGGCACCUCGAUGUCGGCUCAUCGCAUCCUGGGGCUGAAGCAGGUCCCAAGGGUUGGGCUGUUCGCCCAUUAAAGCGGUACGCGAGCUGGGUUCAGAACGUCGUGAGACAGUUCGGUCUCUAUCCUCCGCAGCCGAAGGUGUAUUGAGGAAGGCUGUCCCUAGUACGAGAGGACCGGGACGGACGGAGCUCUGGUGUGUCUGUUGUCCUGCCAAGGGCAUUGCAGAUUAGCCACCUCCGGAAGGGAUAACUGCUGAAAGCAUCUAAGUAGGAAACCCGUUCCAAGAUGAGUACACCCAUGCGGUUAACGCAGUAAGGCCCGUGACAAGACCAUCACGUUGAUAGGCCGGAGGUGUAAGCACGGUAACGUGUGUAGCCGACCGGUACUAAUCGGCCGAGGGCUUGGAUUU